rnacentral:rRNA from 1 species
UACAGAGGGUGCAAGCGUUAAUCGGAAUUACUGGGCGUAAAGCGCGCGUAGGUGGUUUGUUAAGUUGGAUGUGAAAUCCCCGGGCUCAACCUGGGAAUGGCAUUCGGGACUGGCAAGGCUGGAGUGCGGCAGAGGAGACUGGAAUUCCGUGGUGUGAGCAGUGAAAUGCGUAGAAUGUCAGGAGGAAUACCGACUGGCGAAGGCCAGGGUCUCUGGGGAGCUG